AUCGAACGCUGGCGCACUCUUUACACAUGCAAGUCGAACGGUAACGCGGAGAGAAGCUUGCUUCUCUCCGGCGACGAGUGGCGAACGGGUGAGUAAUACAUCGGAACGUGUCCGCUCGUGGGGGACAACCAGCCGAAAGGUUGGCUAAUACCGCAUGAGUUCUACGGAAGAAAGAGGGGGACCCGCAAGGGCCUCUCGCGAGCGGAGCGGCCGAUGACUGAUUAGCCGGUUGGUGAGGUAACGGCUCACCAAAGCAACGAUCAGUAGCUGGUCUGAGAGGACGACCAGCCACACUGGGACUGAGACACGGCCCAGACUCCUACGGGAGGCAGCAGUGGGGAAUUUUGGACAAUGGGCGCAAGCCUGAUCCAGCUAUUCCGCGUGUGGGAUGAGGGCCCUCGGGUUGUAAACCACUUUUGUAGAGAACGAAAAGACACCUUCGAAUAAAGGGUGUUGCUGACGGUACUCUAAGAAUAAGCACCGGCUAACUACGUGCCAGCAGCCGCGGUAAUACGUAGGGUGCGAGCGUUAAUCGGAAUUACUGGGCGUAAAGGGUGCGCAGGCGGUUGAGUAAGACAGAUGUGAAAUCCCCGAGCUUAACUCGGGAAUGGCAUAUGUGACUGCUCGACUAGAGUGUGUCAGAGGGAGGCGGAAUUCCACGUGUAGCAGUGAAAUGCGUAGAUAUGUGGAAGAACACCGAUGGCGAAGGCAGCCUCCUGGGACAUAACUGACGCUCAGGCACGAAAGCGUGGGGAGCAAACAGG
rnacentral:rRNA from 1 species